rnacentral:rRNA from 1 species
CCCUUAGAUGUCCUGGGCCGCACGCGCGCUGCACUGAGUGUCUGAGAUACGAGUCUGCCUGGUCCGGCAAGGUCUAGGUAAUCGCUAAAAGACACAUCAUGCUUGGGAUAGAUUAUUGCAAAUAUUAAUCUUGAACGAGGAAUUCCUAGUAAGCGCAAGUCAACAGCUUGCGUUUAUUACGUCCCUGCCCUUUGUACACACCGCCCGUCGCUACUACUGAUUGGAUGUUUAAGCGAGGUUCUCGAACUGCUAGCGACUUAGCUUCGGUGAGGUCGCAGUGUGGGAAGUGAACCUAGCUUUGGUGUCUAGAGGAAGUAAAAGUCGUAACA